rnacentral:rRNA from 1 species
UACGAAGGGGGCUAGCGUUGCUCGGAAUCACUGGGCGUAAAGCGCACGUAGGCGGAUUGCUAAGUCAGGGGUGAAAAUCCUGGAGCUCAACUCCAGAACUGCCUUUGAUACUGGCGAUCUCGAGUUCGGGAGAGGUGAGUGGAACUGCGAGUGUAGAGGUGAAAUUCGUAGAUAUCGAGAGGAACACCGGUGGCGAAGGCGGCCAACUGGACGAAUACUGGACGCUGAGACUCGAAAGCGUGGG